GUCCUACGUCAUCAGCACCGCGCGUCGCCCAAGGUCCGAGCCGUUGGUGAGAGGAGCGGGCUGACGGUUGCGCGGGCAGCUGAUACCACUGUGGGAAAAAAAAAAAGUGAGGAUGCCACUCUGGGACGUCCCUGUGGGCCGCACCGAAGCCCGCGAGCCCGGGGAACGGCAGAUGUCACCUCACGCCCGACUCCCGGUGGGCUGAGGAACUCUGUGCCCUUGUCACACUUCCUUCUCGGAGGGCUUGGACGGUGCUCUUCUCCGCCACCUCUGUUCCCGCCCGCCUUGUCAUCGUGCCUGCUGGGCGGAUUUUCCGGGCUCUGGCACCCAGUCGCCCCCAGCUUGCCACCAGGGAAGUCAGAUGAUGCUGUCUUCUGUUGGUUACUUCAUAGCACUUCCAUUUUCAAAGAACAUCUUCCUGAGAAUAAACUUGGAAAGUAAUGUGACCACAAAACAUCAUAUUCACAGAGAGUUCAGAGGGAUAUUGGAUACAGAAUAAGAAAAUAUGAGAGAUUAAAACUCAGGAGUUGAGUUCCAGCCUGGAAAACAAGAUGAGAAAACUUUCCAGCCUGCACCAAUUCUGAUUGGUUCACAGUUCUGAUUGAAUUACAAAAUUUUUCUUCCUUUGAACUCAGAAGUCACUUGGAAACCUUGGGGGAAGUUUCACCACAUCCUUUAAGCCUUUCUUCUGGUUAGCAGGGGAGAUCCAUUAGAACUUAGAGAAAUAUCCCAGCCUCCAGUAUCAGUAGCCUUGCCAGCCUACCUCUAGGAUGCCUGGCCAGACUUCAUUGUCAGUGUGGUUCACGGUCACAGUUUUACCUUCAGCUAGCCAUAUUUUCCCGGAUGUUCUUAAACUAUUUGCUGAGUUUUGGGUUUUUUGUUUUGUCUUAUUGGAUUUUGUUUGUUUGUUUUGUUUGUUUUGCAGAGAGUUUUCAGACUUUCUGUUAGGUAAAUUUUACAUUACCAUUAAGAAAUGCUUUCCAAGUUGUGCAUUGCCAAGUAACUGCUUCUCACUAUUCUAGUUUCGUUGGAAUUUUGGUAUUUUUAUUUUGUGUCUUGAUCUUUGGACAUGAACCACACCAUUAUUAGCUUCUACUAGAGAUACUGUGUGUGUAGGGCAUGUGUGUAUACUUGAUCAUGUGUAUGUCUGCACAUACCACGCACAUAGGUGUAGAGGACAGAGGUUGACUUUGGGUGUUUUCCUCCAUCACUCUUCCACCAUAGGUUUUGACCCAAGGUCUCUCACUGAACCUGUGAUUCAUCAGUUCAGACAGGCUGGCUGGCCAGCGAGUUUCCCAGAUCUACCUGUCUGCCCUCUCAGGCCUGGGGUUAUCAGCCAUAUUAGAUGAGCACUUUACUGACUGAAUCAUCUACUACACCCUGUGGAAACAAUGUAUCCAGAGGGGUUUUAUCUGGGGCUUUCUUAUUCAUCUACUUUAUCUUCUUUCUAAGUAUCCUUUCCUGGCAUUUGUUACAUCACAAGCUUUUGUAUCUGUAUUUCUUGACUCCUUCCUAGUUUUUUCAGUCCUGCUUUCCCUCUUUUGUUAUCUUAGCCGGGACUCUUAACGCAUCGUGUGUGGGCAGCUGCUCCUCCGUGGCCUUUAUGGGCCUCUCCUCUUGAGAAAGUACUUUAUUAAGGCAAACCGCAGCUCCUGUCACUCAGUCAGUUUCAGGGCUACACGUACUACUUACCAUUCUCCUCCAUAGUCAGUGCAAGUUCUAUGUCCCUUAGGUUGUUUCUUCCAUAAGCCUAAGGGCUUUGCUUGUAUGACCCAAAUCCUCAUUCCUGAAUUUUAAAAAAUGUGUAUCAGUAAUUAUUUACAUCUUACUCUGGAAUUGCUGCACAUAUCCUUCCAAGUUACAAUUUGGAAUCAAAAUGUUCCCAGGUCAAUCACCUAUAUGUUUUUCUCUGCCUACCAUCAUUUUGGUUUCCUAUUGCUCUAGCUCAGUUACCACUGCCAAGAUGGGAAAUCCUUGCCUGCUCAUACCUGGAUCCAGAGUUCAAAAUGGCUCUAACAUAGUCUAGUGGGACUCUUAUUGUGUCUCCUGGCAGAAAUGCAUCCCAUUUGGAAGCCAGGACUUUUAUACCUUCAGUGUACAGAGUUAUGGGGACUGAAAAGUGUCCCCUAACAAGUCAGUAGGACUGGUGUUCAGUGAGGUCGUUUCUGCUUUCUCUGUUUUGUUCUUGGAACCAUGUGUUUGUUCUUAGUAGGGAUAAUAAUCCAAGCCAGUGUAUGUACUACUUCCUGAAGGAUGGCAUUUAAUCCUUAUGAAACCCUGCUUCUGAACUGGCACUUCAGUUAUACCAUUAUUACAUUGAAAGCAAACAUUGGAGUUAAACAGCUAGGUCAGAAACACUGAGGAAGGUAAAUAAGAAGGCUUGCACUUGGCUAUGAAAUAGCCAAGCUGAGAAGGUAAGAGAAGAGGCAGACCUCUGGGCUGUUUCAGCAGGGCCCAGGAGCCCCACCCUCUCCUGCAGGAACAUGUGCAAGAUAUUGUUGCCCUUUCCCUUAGUAAACAUCUAAAAUUUACAGGUAGUUAACCCUCAUGGAUAACCAUGCAUCUAAUUGUAACAGACUGAAUUGUGGGUAAUGGCUUCUGAGAAAGCCUGCACCUUUUUUUAGGAGGGCGACCUCUCCAGACUGCCCCAGGGAUAGACAAAGGAGAACUGGUGGACAAAGUCCAGACGCUAGAGGCAUUCCUUGGCCAGUGCCACUUGGCUCCCAGUACCCUCCCAUUCUGCCUUUGCCUUCCCACCUGCUACAGUAAACCUCAACAACUUGUUUGCCCUACCUGUCCCCUAAUGUGAAUCUCUUUACUUGAGAUUGGAGGACAUGUGGAAGGAGACAUCUCUAACACCAUCAGUAGGUUGCCUGGUGAUGUGUCAAGCCGAACGACCCUGUUGAUUCCCUGGUCAUGAAUUCACAUGUUAUCUUUUUACUGUGAAGUAGGUCCCAUUUGCAUGCUGUUGAAUUGGAUCCCAUACCUGUGGUUCAGGCAUUCUUUAAGGAACUAAGUAAUGAUAAUAUAGGCCAAGGCACUGAAAGGCAUAACAACAGUCCAUACCCAGAAUAAGUAUUCACCCCUGUUGGGAUAGACCACUAGCUACUCCAAAAUGGAGAGAGUCCAUGUUAUUGACCAGGUAUCUGAUUUGUCUUGAGUAAUACUGCAGUAUUGAGAACACAGUGUAGUCCUCUGUUCCUAUCAGGUUCCUUAGAAACAUAUGUAGAUAUGGAUUGGCUUUUGUAGCUGGGAAUUUAUGGUGUGACUCACAUAUAGCCUCCUGUGCAAACAUGACAACUCAUGUGCUGUCUUAGUGACAGUUCUAGAGUAGGCCAUGACAAACACUUGCUUAACACCAACUGAUAGAAUCCUUUGUCAGUAUGAAUUUUUGUGUUUCUCUUUCAUGAUGGAUGCUCUAGUCAGAAUGAACCUAUCAUUAGCCACUAAGCAAGACAGGCACCUUCAGGGACAGAACCCUAGGUUGAUGCACCUUCAGGGUGUCCUUUCUCUAUUUGCAGCUAAGGCUCUAUGGCAUACGCAACAGCGCACUCCUUGGGACGUGUCUACUCAUUAGUUUUUGCUCAGCAAGCUCCAGGAUGUGUCUACUAUAGCCUCUUUUAAAACCAUGACCUUGAACUGAAUCUGCUCAGGGAUGUACUCCUUAACUAAGCCUGCCCCUUGCUCAGUCCUGGGCCAAUCCUUAUGUGAAUGUGUAUAGGCUCUCAGAAUACAAUUCCCAUGCUUGCUUUGUUGGAAGAUGUUUGGAAAGAAUACCUGUGUUCGCCCUUAUCUAUUGCAAGUAAUCUUUCUCUACUCUUUUUAUAUAUUGACUGUGAUUAUUUUGGCUUGCACUCAAUGAUAUGUGACCCCAUUAUAUUUGACUACAAUAUAAUAAAAAAAGAUCCUCACUCCAUGUGACCGCAUAUCUCCAUUUCUAUAUCUCUCUUCCUUACCUUAUUGUCUCUGACCUUCCAGUCUUCUCUGCUGAGAAAGUCUAUACAGGAUGAUCAUGCCAUCAAACACUUGAAACUAACAACAGUAGCAUUGAAAAACUGAAGUGGAAAUUUAAGGGCUCUUUGGAAAGUCAUCUGUGUUGAUGGUGUUUUGCUGGGGCAGACACGUGCAGUACCAU
ensembl:lincRNA uncharacterized LOC110303983